rnacentral:rRNA from 1 species
CACGAUGGCCACGCCACCCUGAACGCACCCGAUCCUGUCUGAGUUCGGAAGCUAAGCAGGGUCAGGCCUGGUUAGUACUUGGAUGGGAGACCACCUCGGAAGACCAGGUGCUGUAGACG